AGAGAUGUGUGAUGAUGCAUAUCAAUAAGCGGAGGAAAAGAAACUAACAAGGAUUCCCUUAGUAACGGCGAGUGAAGCGGGAAGAGCUCAAAUUUGAAAUCUUCAAGGUUCUACCUUGACGAAUUGUAGUUUAUAAGAAGUGUUUUCUGUUAGUGGAGUGGCAAAAGUUCUUUGGAAUAGGACAUCAUAGAGGGUGAGAAUCCCGUAUUUGGUCAUUCCUCCUAGCUUUGUGAUACACUUUCAACGAGUCGGAUUGUUUGGGAAUGCAGUCCAAAAUGGGUGGUAAAUUUCAUCUAAAGCUAAAUAUUGGCGAGAGACCGAUAGCGAACAAGUACCGUGAGGGAAAGAUGAAAAGAACUUUGAAAAGAGAGUUAAACAGUACGUGAAAUUGUCAAAAGGGAAGCGUUUGACACCAGUGUUGUUUUUCCGAAAAUCAAUUACAAAUGGGAUUUUGUUUUAGGAGUUAUGACUUCAUCAGCUCUCUGCACUUCUUUCUUACUACUUUCUUAAUGCACUUUUCGUUUAACAAGUCAACAUCAAUUUCUUUUGUUGUAAAAGGGUAUGAGGAAGGUGGCUUUCUUUUCGGAGAAAGUGUUUAUAGCCUUGUAGCCUCUGCAAUCGGAGAGAUUGAGGUCUGCAGCGUAGAUCCUUCGGGGUUAGAUACAUUUGUGCUAAGCUAUAGUUCUUUAUAGACAACUUGUUGACUAUAGUCUAGUCCUGUAGCUUACUCGCUUAUGCUAUUUUACCUACGCUUAGGAUGUUGAAGAUGUAGCACAUCAU
rnacentral:rRNA from 1 species